rnacentral:rRNA from 1 species
AGAGUUUGAUCCUGGCUCAGGACGAACGCUGGCGGCGUGCCUAAUACAUGCAAGUAGAACGCUGAAGAGAGGAGCUUGCUCUUCUUGGAUGAGUUGCGAACGGGUGAGUAACGCGUAGGUAACCUGCCUUGUAGCGGGGGAUAACUAUUGGAAACGAUAGCUAAUACCGCAUAACAAUGGGUGACACAUGUCAUUUAUUUGAAAGGGGCAAUUGCUCCACUACAAGAUGGACCUGCGUUGUAUUAGCUAGUAGGUGAGGUAACGGCUCACCUAGGCGACGAUACAUAGCCGACCUGAGAGGGUGAUCGGCCACACUGGGACUGAGACACGGCCCAGACUCCUACGGGAGGCAGCAGUAGGGAAUCUUCGGCAAUGGGGGCAACCCUGACCGAGCAACGCCGCGUGAGUGAAGAAGGUUUUCGGAUCGUAAAGCUCUGUUGUAAGUCAAGAACGAGUGUGAGAGUGGAAAGUUCACACUGUGACGGUAGCUUACCAGAAAGGGACGGCUAACUACGUGCCAGCAGCCGCGGUAAUACGUAGGUCCCGAGCGUUGUCCGGAUUUAUUGGGCGUAAAGCGAGCGCAGGCGGUUUGAUAAGUCUGAAGUUAAAGGCUGUGGCUCAACCAUAGUUCGCUUUGGAAACUGUCAAACUUGAGUGCAGAAGGGGAGAGUGGAAUUCCAUGUGUAGCGGUGAAAUGCGUAGAUAUAUGGAGGAACACCGGUGGCGAAAGCGGCUCUCUGGUCUGUAACUGACGCUGAGGCUCGAAAGCGUGGGGAGCGAACAGGAUUAGAUACCCUGGUAGUCCACGCC